GAUGAACGCUGGCGGCGUGCCUAAUACAUGCAAGUCGAGCGAACGGACGAGAAGCUCGCUUCUCUGAUGUUAGCGGCGGACGGGUGAGUAACACGUGGAUAACCUACCUAUAAGACUGGGAUAACUUCGGGAAACCGGAGCUAAUACCGGAUAAUAUUUUGAACCGCAUGGUUCAAAAGUGAAAGACGGUCUUGCUGUCACUUAUAGAUGGAUCCGCGCUGCAUUAGCUAGUUGGUAAGGUAACGGCUUACCAAGGCAACGAUGCAUAGCCGACCUGAAAGGGUGAUCGGCCACACUGGAACUGAGACACGGUCCAGACUCCUACGGGAGGCAGCAGUAGGGAAUCUUCCGCAAUGGGCGAAAGCCUGACGGAGCAACGCCGCGUGAGUGAUGAAGGUCUUCGGAUCGUAAAACUCUGUUAUUAGGGAAGAACAUAUGUGUAAGUAACUGUGCACAUCUUGACGGUAUCUAAUCAGAAAGCCACGGCUAACUACGUG
rnacentral:rRNA from 1 species